rnacentral:tRNA from 1 species
UGGGCACGUAGCUCAAUUGGAUAGAGCCCCGGUCUCCAAAGCCGGUGGUUGGGGGUUCGAGUCCCUCCGGGCCUGCAAC